GUUGGGAGUGAGGGCAACCCCAAAGCCUGUGAAUGAUUGACUCCCCCAGUCCACAAGCUGAACAAAAAACUCCCGCUUUGAUUCUCCUGUGCGGCAACUCCAUUCCGAUGGUCGACCCAUUCUAUUUUUCUAAACUGAGGCAAAAGUCUUGCCUCAUCUCUGUAUUAAAGAAGAAUAUAAUUGCCUAGUUAAUUACACAAAACCGGCUGAAAACUGGUACAACCCACGAAGGGGCACCAUCAGCCAGCCUGGCUGUCCACACAAGACUCACACACGACGCCGAGAGAGGAGCACCGUCGAGGCGGACUACAAGUGUCGUCGUCGUCACUCCUCUGCGAGCCAGCGACUCCGACUUGUGCAAACCCCCAUCGACGUGGCACACACCGCAACAACCCGCACAAAGUCUGUAUCAAGCUAUGCCAAACAGUUGGCCACCGGGAGAAGCGACGAGAUAACUCUGACUUUGAAGAGGGUCAAAUGCAGAAGAUAUAUGCAAGACUCGCGCCGACGAAGACCUCCUCCAAGACCACCAAACACCCGUCAUCGUGGCUGCCUAGGCCCUUCAAAGGCAGCAGCUCCAACUCCUGUGUGACACCACAACGAGACCAAGGCAAAACUGGUCGGACACGCCGGAGAGAGCCGACUAUCAAAGUCUUACCGUGACUCGCCACCAGCAUUGUUGCCAAUUCCCCUCUGCUCGCCUCCCUCCCUCGGUGCGAACGCGGCUCAAGAUCGAUAUCGAAUUUCUUAGUAGGAGAGAAAAAACAACACAUACACGCAUACAUAGGUGGAUCCCCUCUCUAGUAGUGCCCAACCUAUAUGCUAUAGCUAGCGCAGCUCUGCUGCAUCCGCAGUGUUUAUUCUCGAGCACCAGGCCAAGCUGCUGGUCUCGGCAGAAGCCAGCAAGAAGGAUCCAGGAUUGCUGCUUUCUCGCUCCGAUCCGAACAACCACUGGGCGGCACGGCAGCGAAGGAAGCUCUUUUGUAGUUGCUUGCUUCUUCUCAAGAUCUGGUCAUCCUCCUCUCCUCUAGUUGGCGUUGGCGAAUCGGGAUGCCGCAGUAAUCCGCGGGAAGAGAAGUAUACAAGUAUACAUACAUGGAGUUUACUGCGACAAGCAGCAGGUUCACCCGGACAAGCAGUAGGCCGACGGCGGCUGCCGGCUCAGGCGGGUCGGUCAAGAUUCAAGGCCCGAACGGAGCCAGUGGCGAGUGGAGUGGAUGAAGCACCCGAGCGAGGAGAGGAGAGGGAGCGGGAGGGGGAGGAGGGAGGAAGGUGAGGGAGGGGAG
rnacentral:rRNA from 1 species